GACGAACGCUGGCGGCGUGCUUAACACAUGCAAGUCGAACGGAAAGGCCCUGCUUUUGUGGGGUGCUCGAGUGGCGAACGGGUGAGUAACACGUGAGUAACCUGCCCUUGACUUUGGGAUAACUUCAGGAAACUGGGGCUAAUACCGGAUAGGAGCUCCUGCUGCAUGGUGGGGGUUGGAAAGUUUCGGCGGUUGGGGAUGGACUCGCGGCUUAUCAGCUUGUUGGUGGGGUAGUGGCUUACCAAGGCUUUGACGGGUAGCCGGCCGGGGAGGGUGACCGGCAUCUAGGGGAUUGGGGGAGGGCGCAGCAGCGACUGGGGGGCAGCGGGGGGAAGUAUGGCAGAGGGGGGGGGCGUCUGAGGCGACAGCCCCGGGUGCGGAGUGACGGCUUUCGGUUGAAAAACCUCUUUCGCCUGAAAAGAGGGGGGGGGGAGGGUAAGGGAUAAAAAAGCACCGGCUAACUACGUG
rnacentral:rRNA from 1 species